UGGAAAUAGUGAAGUGUGGACACAUAAAAAUUGCUAGCUUUAUUUCUUCAAUUGAUCACUUCUACAACUUAAAUUUUUAUUGAGUGGUAUGUAUUUAGUGAUUGAGUUAAAAACAGAUUUGCCUUGGUAUAUUUUAUUACUAUGAACUUUUCAAAGAAGCUUUGAGAAUGUAACUCGAAUUAUUUUUUAAAUUAAAUUUAAUUAUUUUGUAUCUUGAGUUUAGGCACGGGUCCGCUUUAAAAUCGUCCGCCUUGCACCCACCCUUAAGGUACUCUUCGUCGUCCUGCUUCCGCAAAUUUCCGAUAAAGUCCUUUUCGUUGUCCUGUUGGGCUUUUGAUGUUGCAUCAACACUAUUUUUAUCAUAUUUUACAUAGUGUAGCAUUGGAAACUAAAACCUUCCGCUAUUGGCAUGCGCCUCUUCGUCUCUUUGGUUACUUAUGUGGAAGCUAAACACGCUCUUGCUUUUGGCGAUGUGUAGCUCUGCAACUGCAUUCUUUGAUCUUUAACCUCAAGGGUUAUAUCAUAUAGUUUACCGCAGAAUAAAUUUUAAAACAUGCUCUCUGUUUCGAUUUGGUCUCCGCUUGCUGAUAGGGUUGAUUUGGAAUAGGGCUUGAGAAAUUGAACAAGGGAAGAGAAAUAAAGAGAAGAGAGAGACACACACGGGAAAAGAGAAAGUGAUUGAUACUGCUAAUGCUCUUUAGCAUAAUUAGCAUCUGAAUUUAUAUAUGUUUAGAGCAUUUGAAAAUGUUAGAUCUAUCUAAUAGAUUUUGAAUCAGUCUCAACUCUAAAGUUUGAAACUCUCAUAAAUUGCAUGAUAACAACGAGAAAUAAGUAUUUAUGCAUGCUGCUAAUUAAUGCUUUUUAGGUUGAUAUGCAUUUGACUAUAAAUAUUAGAGAAUUUAGUGGCGUGAUAGUGUUAAUGAUGUAGGAGAUAACUUCGAAUGGUUUAUUAUGAAUGAAUACUACAGUAACAAUUAACCUAGCUAACAGGUUCAAUGUUCUUAAAUUGUUUCUAAACAAGAGUGUGGUGUAUUUAAAAUUUAGAAACUUUGUGACUAACCUAAGCGUCUUUUUUAUUUUUUAGUUAAAUAUAUUUGAUCUAGCCAACUUGAGAAUUGAAUGAAUUUGUGACUAACCUAGCGUCUUUUUUAUUUUUUAGUUAGAAAUAUUUGAUAUAGCCAACUUGAGAACUGAAUGAAUUUGUGUGAUUUCAGUCUGAAUUUGUUAUUUGUUGCUCCUGUUUGAAGGGUCUACCCACACCCCAUAGCGAUAGAUCUCAAUGACCAAACAAACGCCCUCACUUGCUUAAGGAACUGCUGGAAACCAAUCCCAAAGGAUGUCAUGAGAAUGGAAAAGACUCUAACAACAGAUCUAGAAGCAAAAAUCAAGGAGGCAAGAAUCAAGAUGUAACUGCACGUUCUAUAGAAACUGGAUAUUCAAAUCAACCAUUAACAGAAGGUAUAAAUCAAUCAGCAGAAGAUGAUCAAUCAAUCAAUAUAGAAGAUCAAUCACGUAGAUCAUUUAUGAAAUGCAUCAAUCAAUCACGUGGAUAAUUUAUGAAAGGCAUCGAUCAAUCAGUAUAGAAGAUACUUUGAAAAUAUUCUUUCCAACGACCCACAAGGAAAAGGAAAUCAAGGAAGCAACGAAAGGAAAAGUCCAUUCUAUUUCUGAAAUGAAAUCAUCUUGAUUGAUUCACAAAAAUCAACUCCCUUGGGUUGCUUCUCAAUUAUUUCACUAUCACGCUGUGAAGAAUGAGAGCCAAUUCACCAUAUAUAUUCUACAGAAGACGUCAGGGAUUCAUAUACUUUGAUCAAACCAAAAUCAAUCUAUUUGUCCUACUUCAAACAAGCACGGUAGUCUAUCAUAGAUUUCUUGUGUAACUAAGAAGAGAAUAGAGAGAGAGAAAAGAUCACUGAUGAGGCAUUGUAUCAAUCAUAAUAGAGAAGAACAAAGUGAUCAAAAAGCCGUUGGUGUAUAACAACAUCAACCCAUAUGUACUAAGUCACUUCAUAUUUGAAAGAGAUUACCCUUGCAACCCAAGGGGACUAGACGUAGGAUUCACCCUGAAUCCGAACCAGUAU